GACGAACGCUGGCGGUAUGCUUAACACAUGCAAGUCGAACGAGAAGUCUUUUAUUGACCCUUCGGGGGAUAUAAGAGAUAGACAGUGGCGAACGGGUGAGUAACGCGUGGGCAACCUACCUAUCGGAGCGGGAUAGCCUCGAGAAAUCGGGAGUAAAACCGCAUAACACGGAUAUAUCGCAUGAUGAAUCCGUCAAAACUCCGGUGCCGAUAGAUGGGCCCGCGUCUGAUUAGCUAGUUGGUAAGGUAAGGGCUUACCAAGGCAACGAUCAGUAGCCGGUCUGGGAGGGCGAACGGCCACACUGGAACUGAGACACGGUCCAGACUCCUACGGGAGGCAGCAGUGGGGAAUAUUGCGCAAUGGGGGCAACCCUGACGCAGCAAUACCGCGUGAGUGAAGAAGGUUUUCGGAUCGUAAAGCUCUGUUAUUGGGGAAGAAGCAGUGACGGUACCCAAUGAGGAAGUCCCGGCUAACUACGUG
rnacentral:rRNA from 1 species